UUCCUAAGGCUCCAAAGGUAACCACUUGUUGACAAAUAUUUGGACCCAUAACCUCUCAUCCUACUCACGUGUUAAUCAGAUGAUUAUCUCCGCAAACACAUCAGACCACAUUAUCAGGUGAACACGCUUGCUUAUAAGCCCUAUACAGUAAAGGAAUACACCCACCAGCACCCAUACACAACUACACGUGUACCCAUCCGCUACUACUCUCCCCCACACACACACACCUAGACUCAAUUACUUGCCGAGAAGCAGACUGCUGUGUACACUCUCCAAUGGAAGCUCAAGUCUUGUCGGCAGUCUCUGGAUAGCAAAGAGCUCCACCUUGGCCUGGUUCAGAAGAAGGUCACGGUGAUGGAAGAGCGACUAUGAAUUAUACUCAAGGAGUGAGGAACCUCCCUUGACAAAGGUAGAAAAAAGUAAAAAAAGAUGGAACGCCUUCACACUAUAGCAACUCAGGAGAAAGAGACCAUUAUGAAACUGAAGGAGUAGAAUGCUGAUGCGCAAAAACUCAAAACCCACAAUGGAAACCUAGAAGACCAAGUGGCUCAGCUGUUAGCAACACUAUAGAGGAGGUUUCACAGGCAAGAGUACAUCAGGCACAGCAACUGGCUGAAGCUAGACAGAAACAAGCCAACUCAAAAACGAAGACCAUCGUUGAAAGUUCUCAAGACAAGGCUAAUAUUGAAAGGCUUGGAGGAGAGCUAGAAACCUCACAGCAGCAGCUGGAUGAGGCCAAACACAGAGAAAGAGAGUUGGUGUCUUUCAAGGCAGCGGUGAAGAGGCUACUCAAGGACAAUACAGAGUUACAAGAUAGUGAGGCUCUUGAUGACUACGGUAUAUGAUUGCCAAGCUGGAGAGAUUACUGGCCAUGCAGCGAAGAACAAGAGAAACCACAAAAUGCCUUGAAGCUAGUUUGAGACAAUUAGAAUCAGGCUUUAAGAGCAGUUACAAUGAUGCAUUGACUCUGUUAGCAACCAAUCAGCUUAAAGAAACCUA